GCUCCCACAGCUGAGGACCCUGGCCAUGCCCCUCCUCAUCCCGUAGCCAGGCUCUGCCUGCUCCCACGACCUUACCAGCUGCACACCCUCCUUUCUGGAUCCUUCCAGCCUCCUAAGGAGGGCACUGCAGUCAGCCAUGCUUUAUGUCCAGCAGAGGGCCUUCUAGAGGGGUCACCACAGAGCACUGCUUCAUCUCUCUCCACAGCAGAAUUCACUCUGUAAUUCAGGCUUGCCUUGAAUUCACUAUGUAGUCUCAGCCGGCCUUGAACUUAUGGUUGUCCUCCUGCCUCAGCCUCCUAAGAGCUGGGAUUACAGGGAUCGAACUUGGGUCCUUGCACUUGUGCAGCAGGCGGCUAAUCCACUGAGCUAAAUCCCAAGCCCUAAUGAAUCUUUUAAAAGACAUCCCUAUGAAAUCAGCGUGCUUUCAUAUAUAUGGUGUAUCACAAUAAAUUCACCCCACCCCUUUCUUUAAAGUUCCUGAAAGUAUUUUAUUUCAGGUUGAAAAAUGAACAGCUUCCACACUGUUCAUUGCAAGAUGCACAGUAUCCAUGAAUGCAAUGCUGGUCAUUUGAGGACAUACUCUAUAC
rnacentral:lncRNA from 1 species